ACCCACACACUCAUCCACCUCCAGAGAUCUGAUCAUGGCUGAUACAUUCACUGUUCAACUUCAGAGACCUUCUUUCUUCUCCCUAUCUAAGGGAAGGAAGCUUAGCAACUACGGCCAGCCAUGCUCUUAAUGCUCUUCUGAAUAAAGGCCCAGCCACACCCUUCGUGAAAACGCCACACAGAAAAGAGAA